rnacentral:rRNA from 1 species
AUUGAACGCUGGCGGCAGGCCUAACACAUGCAAGUCGAGCGGCUGAAGGGAGUUUGCUCUUGGAUUCAGUGGCGGACGGGUGAGUAAUGCAUAGGAAUCUGCCCGGUAGUGGGGGAUAACGCCGCGAAAGCGGCGCUAAUACCGCAUACGACCUGAGGGUGAAAGCGGGGGAUCUUCAGACCUCACGCUAUUAGAUCAGCCUAUGUCGGAUUAGCUAGUUGGUGGGGUAAAGGCCUACCAAGGCGACGAUCCGUAACUGGUCUGAGAGGAUGAUCAGCCACACUGGAACUGAGACACGGUCCAGACUCCUACGGGAGGCAGCAGUGGGGAAUAUUGGACAAAGGGCGAAAGCCUGAUCCAGCCAUGCCGCGUGUGUGAAGAAGGUCUUCGGAUUGUAAAGCGCUUUAAGUUGGGAAGAAGGGCAGUGAGUUAAUACCUCGCUGUUUUGACGGUACCGAAAGAAUAAGCACCGGCUAACUACGUG